AUAUAAUUGGCUAGAAGAUAUACAUAUAUCUAUGUAACUUCCUCUAGCAUCCUCCAGUAUGGAGGCUGCAUUAAGACUGCAUGAAGGAGAGGGAGAGAAGGGAGAAACAGAGCAGCUGGACAAGAGGACAGGUAUAGGGAAUAAGGGAGAAGCCAGUAAGGCAGGAAAGACCCUCCGUGACAAAGGGGCAGGGAACAGAACUCAAACAUUUAAUGGCAGGUAACCCAGGUUAGAAUGGUAAAUUGAAAGGUGAAUAUAAAGGGAGAAUGGUGAAAUGAAUUUUCUGAAAUUAAUUGCUGUGUUUAUAGUUUUUAGCCAUGCAUCGGAAUCACCUCAGGACUCCACUCCCAAUCAAUUAUAUAUCUGGGGGAGGACCAAGGCGUUGGUAUUUUUCAGAAGCUCCACUGGUGAUUCUGACAGCACAGCUAGGAUUAAGAAACUGAUCAAUGGGAACGGCAUGCCUGUUGCAGAGGAGCUUCCCUGGGAAAUGUCACACACAGAACAUCAAUCUUCCUUCCCCACUCCUGAGAUCCCUCAUUCUUUGGCACCAGGAACAGUUGCAAUUAGUAAACCCUGGUUCCCUGCUGUCUCACAAAUCGCAAGAGUCCAACGUGUGGAUAUAAACUUUUGUUCAUGGGAGGAUCUUUCUCCCAGUGGAAAAGCAACUGGGAAAAGCAGGACACACUGCACAGUGACUGCAGUUUCAUCCAAUGCCACCACCCAUGCAGGCAUAAAUAAUGAACAUGGAUGGGGGAGUCUGGAGCUGCUGAAUUGAGGAAGAAAGAACACAGAAAUUAAAAUUCUCACAAAGGUUACCAUUAAGCUAGAGGAAGACCACACCACUGUGUGUCCACAAAGAUACAGAGCCAGGCCGGGUUCAGCCAUGCU
rnacentral:lncRNA from 1 species